rnacentral:tRNA from 1 species
GCCUUCGUGGUAUAGUGGUCAGCUGGUAUAGUGGUACUCUGGCCGCGUAUUCCAGAGGUCCGUGGUUCGAGUCCCGGCGAAGGCG